UACGUAGGGUGCAAGCGUUGUCCGGAAUUAUUGGGCGUAAAGAGCUCGUAGGCGGUUUGUCGCGUCUGCUGUGAAAUCUGGGGGCUCAACCCCCAGCCUGCAGUGGGUACGGGCAGACUAGAGUGCGGUAGGGGAGAUUGGAAUUCCUGGUGUAGCGGUGAAAUGCGCAGAUAUCAGGAGGAACACCGGUGGCGAAGGCGGGUCUCUGGGCCGUAACUGACGCUGAGGAGCGAAAGCAUGGGGAGCGAACAGG
rnacentral:rRNA from 1 species